rnacentral:lncRNA from 10 species
UAUGUCUGCUACAGAAAUCAAAGGGGAAGGGCAGUCUCAGACAGGAAGGACUCAGUAACAGCUUCAGCUGUCUCCAUCUGCCUCUCCUCCACCUCCACAGGCUUUCCCGAGAAUCCUGAGCUGAGAUGAAUGCUGCCACCCCGACACCUGGCCUCUGAGAAGCCACUAUUUCCCUAUCUAAGCUGGCCAGUCGUGGACAAAUCCCUCAGUUCCGCAGAGAUGAGGUUGGAAUUAGAAGUCAAAUGCAAAUGCAUAGAAAUGGAGGAGUUAACAGCACAGGCAUCUUCAAGCGAAUCCACAAAAAUUUGUUCAGAGCUUAUAGUCUACCCAGCCCCAGUUCCUUUUCCUCAGUAAAGCCUUACUUUGCACAGAAGGUGAAUGUUAGGUCAAGGCACUCAGACUUCCUGCCCAAAAGUCUUUUGAGUUUGUCAGCAGCAAUUGCAUGAGGAAAAGACGAUGCCUGCACAGAAAAGAGAGUGAACCAAAAACAGCUUUCUUGGGCAACACCGGCCAGAGACACUAUUCCACCUCCCUGCUGAGGUCCAGCUUGAACUUUAUUCAUUUCAAAACCAAACCAUUCAGCCAGACCCUCAAACCACUGAAGACGCUCAGUCAGUCAAAAUGGGUCAGAAUCAAGUGCAAACCUCUCUGAAGUGCUUAUCACUCUCCAGCAUCUCCUAAAUCUUGAAAUGAUCCUAGGCCUUUCUUAAGCCUCCCUUCCACCUGCUGGUCAGAUAGACCCUGUGUUGUAGGACUCUUCCAGCCUUGGAAAGUGGUUUCCAGAAAAGUUUGCUUGAAGUCUCUCUAAUACCCAAGAAAGACAUGGAAGCCCCUUGAGACUGUAAGCUCCGCAAGGACAAGAACAGAGUCUGUCUUCGUCGCCACUCUGUCCCCAGUGCCUGGCAUAGAAUGUAGCCCAGGAACCAGGAUCACACCAUGCAUAGCACUCCGGGAACUUCUUAUACAAAGGCCUCUCCAAGCUUCUUCUAGGACCAACCGGCAGUUGAGAUAGAAGAUGUUCUGUUAUGGAAAGGCAGUGUCCUCCAAAACGAUUGUCAAAAGUUGGAUCCAGAAAGAUAAAGCAACUUAGUAAAGAUCACAUUGAACUAGAAUCACAACUUAGUCCUAUAGAUAUUAGCAAUGUCAGACAUCAAAGCCUGAACAUUUAAUUCUAAUAAAUUCAACAUAUAUCCAG